CGGCAGCCAGAGUGGUGAUCACUAUUAUUGGGUCUAAAGGGUCCGUAGCCGGUUUGAUCAGUCUUUUGGGAAAACUGACAGCUUAACUGUUAGCCUUCCAAAGGAUACUGUCAGACUUGGGACCGGGAGAGGUAAGAGGUACUACAGGGGUAGGAGUGAAAUCUUGUAAUCCCUGUGGGACCACCAGUGGCGAAGGCGUCUUACCAGAACGGGUCCGACGGUGAGGGACGAAAGCUGGGGGCACGAACCGGAUUAGAUACCCGAGUAGUCC
rnacentral:rRNA from 1 species